rnacentral:rRNA from 1 species
UUCCGUAGGGUGAACCUGCGGAAGGAUCAUUAAUGAAUUUGAAAGGAGUUGUUGCUGGCUUGUCAACCCAAGCAUGUGCACACUCCAAUCUCAUCCAUCUUACACCUGUGCACCCUUGCGUGGGUCCGUCGGCUUUGCGGUCGUUCGGGCUUGCGUUUUUUCUCUAAACUCUUAUGUAUGUAACAGAAUGUCUUAAUGCUAUAAACGCAUCUUAUACAACUUUCAACAACGGAUCUCUUGGCUCUCGCAUCGAUGAAGAACGCAGCGAAAUGCGAUAAGUAAUGUGAAUUGCAGAAUUCAGUGAAUCAUCGAAUCUUUGAACGCACCUUGCGCCCCUUGGUAUUCCGAGGGGCACGCCUGUUCGAGUGUCGUGAAAUUCUCAACUCAAUCCUCUUGUUAUGAGAGGGCUGGGCUUGGACUUGGAGGUCUUGCCGGUUGUGUUCCCUCGGGACGUCGGCUCCUCUCGAAUGCAUGAGUGGAUCCCAUUAAGUCGGGUUUGCCCUUCGCGUGAUACUUACAUACGCCACCCAUGGCGCUGCGCGUUGGUGAGGUUCUAGCCGGGAGUCAGGACAUGCUAUCUCUACAUGACCUCGAAACAUUCUCUGAUGCCUGCUUAUUCCCCGCAUAUCAUAACGGGGAAGG